AUUGCUUCUCAGGCUUUUGGUUAAGAUCAAAUAUAGUAUCUGUUCUUAUCAGUUUAAUAUUUGAUAUAUCAUCUAUCCAAAGACAAUGUAUUAAAUGAAUCUUUGGAACUAGGAGAUAAAUUAGGAGCUUGCUCCAUCUAUUCCACGCAUCAACCUGGUACUGCAGUACUGCCAGGAACAAUGCACCAAAA